UGGGUUGGCAGCUGAUCCCAACCGUAAUGUACUCGGCGUUUAGAACCAAAACGAUCCAGUAUAAAAUGUGCGGAGGGUUUGGAGUUGGACUGUCCUCUCUCAAUACGGGAAUUCAUGAUUUCCGAUAAGCGAACCGAGUUCCUGAAUAUGAGGAGCUUGAGGUUGAGGUUCCACUGCCAGAUUUAAAUAGAGGAUUGAUUAUGGAGAAGAUGACCGCCCCUGGCACAACACUCAUUAACCCCUGUUCUCUCUUGCUGCCUUGCCUCACCCACAAAGAGGGCCAUCAUCCUCCGAAGCCAUCUUAACUCAGUCUGGAGAACCUGGGAAGGGAAUGAAUGACAGGAUACUUUCUCUCACAGGAGAAUAUCCAUCAUUUUUCAAAAAUUGACAAUAAUGUGUGAGUCAUGCUAAUCCCGAGGAAUGCCGAACUCAUUCUUCUUCAUUCUUCGGGCGAAUCAUCCCGGGACCAAAAACGACGGAACAUACAGAGAAGAGAGCAAAGGGGGGUGUCCGUCUAAAGAGAGCUAGCUGCCCGGAACUGUAUCUAGUACGAAGACCUCAUCCAGAAUGGAUGGGCAUUGAGACUGAUCCUAUUUAGACCACUCGUGUGUGGUCUGUGUGCGGCCCAAGGAAUAUCUCUGCUAUUCCCAGUAAUGAGACGGAUGAUUUUCCGCUCGCACAUUCAUCGUUAUGACGAGUGUCUGUCUACAUAUAUACGAUACGUACAGUACUGUAUGCAUAGUCAGUAUGUGUGUGUUCAAGAAUCAAGACCGUUUUGGUCCUAGUGUUCUAGGUCUUGGGGUCGGCGCCGGAUUUUAUGGUUCAUCCCGAUGGGAAUGCAUUCCUCCAAGUGCAGAAAUACAUUAAUUGAGGUGUUUUCUGGGCAAACGAACGAGAGCAAAACCAAUCUCUUGUUCAAGCUUGGAAAAAGAGCAAUCAUGGCCUGAGUUGCGAGCGAGACGUGCUCGUUAAGUCAGUCUAUUCACCCAAGCAACUCCGAUAUCCACUAUUCAGCGGUUCAGGUGUGUGUGGGGGGAGGGGGGGGGGCGAUACGGCGACGACGAACUCCACCAUCCUCUCGUCCAUCUCGAUUGCCAUCAUCAUCAUGAUCAUUGCCAACAGCCUCAACCUCAACCUUGUGCGGAAGGUUUCGGGGAUCUACUUUCCAUCAGAGCCCCACUAAGUUCAAUCCAAUCGGCCGUCACACGCUUACGUUCUCCUCAUCCAGCACAUAUGUUCAUACCAUCAGCAUCUGUGCGAGGGAUAAAGAUGGUGGAAAAAUGACAUGUUUGCCUUUCAUCCGCCAUACCCAGUCCGAAGCGAUAUCUCAAUGUCAAAUAGAUAAAUCACUUUUUUAGCUUGUCGAUUGAUAUGGAAAGGCAUGUCCAUUGUACCUCGACUGAAUUCCAAGUCCAGUCGGAAUACUGUCUUUGCUUGACUCUUUUAAUCAUUCUGUAGGGAAUAGUUUCAGAUUUUCGUUUUGCAUGAAGGAGGUCUUUCAAGUCAUUAAAAUCAUGUCAGAGAAGUGCAAAUAUAAAGCUUGAGAAUAAUUAGACUCGCCCUAUUCACA